UGGGGAAUAUUGGGCAAUGGGGGAAACCCUGACCCAGCAACGCCGCGUGAGGGAAGAAGGUCUUCGGAUUGUAAACCUCUGUCGCAGGGGACGAACAAAUGACGGUACCCUGUAAGAAAGCCCCGGCUAACUACGUGCCAGCAGCCGCGGUAAUACGUAGGGGGCGAGCGUUGUCCGGAAUUACUGGGCGUAAAGGGAGCGUAGGCGGCUGCUUAAGUCAGAUGUGAAAUGCCGGGGCUUAACCCCGGAGCUGCAUUUGAAACUGGGCGGCUAGAGUGUAGGAGAGGAAAGCGGAAUUCCUAGUGUAGCGGUGAAAUGCGUAGAUAUUAGGAGGAACACCAGUGGCGAAGGCGGCUUUCUGGACUAUAACUGACGCUGAGGCUCGAAAGCGUGGGGAGCAAACA
rnacentral:rRNA from 1 species